GAUCCCUUUUUUUUUGUUUCAUAUUUAUUUGUUUUUACAUUUUUUUAGGACAAUCGGGUGUCUUGGGAGCUAAAUAAAGGUAGAAAAAUAUAUCCAGUUUUAGAGAGCCUAUUAAGCUGUUGGGCCAUUUUGGCUCAUUUCUAAAUUCCAAAAAAAAAAAAUCGGGCCUGUCGGGUCGGGCCUGGGACCAGAUUUAUAAGAUUGGGUCGGGCCUGGACAAAAAUUUAAGCCCGACAGUCGGGCCGGGCCGGGUCUAGGCAUAGCCAUCGGGCCUAAUUUCUGCUGUAGAGCCCGGCCCGGGCCCGGCCCCAGCCCGGCUCGGCCCGGGUUUUGAUCAGCUCUAAUUCCCAGUGAUCUUAAAAAUCUCCGUCCAUGGCUCUGUAAAGGACCUGGCUCGGGCCGGGCUCUGCAGUAGAAGUUAAGUUCGUUGCUUUUGCCCAAGCCUGGCUCGGCACAAAUAUCGCGCUUACAUUUGUGCCUGUUAGGGCUGCAAAUGGGUUGGGUCGACCCGUGAUCCGAUCCGACCCGACCCGACCCGCUUAAGAUCCGACCCGACCU
rnacentral:lncRNA from 1 species